UACAGAGGUCUCGAGCGUUGUUCGGAUUCAUUGGGCGUAAAGGGUGCGUAGGUGGCGCCGUAAGUCGGGUGUGAAAUUUCGGAGCUUAACUCCGGAACUGCAUUCGAUACUGCGGUGCUUGAGGACUGGAGAGGAGACUGGAAUUCAUGGUGUAGCAGUGAAAUGCGUAGAGAUCAUGAGGAAGACCAGUGGCGAAGGCGGGUCUCUGGACAGUUCCUGACACUGAGGCACGAAGGCCAGGGGAGCAAACGGG
rnacentral:rRNA from 1 species